GUGAACCUGCGGAAGGAUCAUUAGUGAAUAUAGGACGUCCAACUUAACUUGGAGUCCGAACUCUCACUUUCUAACCCUGUGCACUUGUUUGGGAUAGUAACUCUCGCAAGAGAGCGAACUCCUAUUCACUUAUAAACACAAAGUCUAUGAAUGUAUUAAAUUUUAUAACAAAAUAAAACUUUCAACAACGGAUCUCUUGGCUCUCGCAUCGAUGAAGAACGCAGCGAAAUGCGAUAAGUAAUGUGAAUUGCAGAAUUCAGUGAAUCAUCGAAUCUUUGAACGCACCUUGCGCUCCAUGGUAUUCCGUGGAGCAUGCCUGUUUGAGUGUCAUGAAUACUUCAACCCUCCUCUUUCUUAAUGAUUGAAGCGGUGUUUGGUUUCUGAGCGCUGCUGGCCUUUACGGUCUAGCUCGUUCGUAAUGCAUUAGCAUCCGCAAUCGAACUUCGGAUUGACUUGGCGUAAUAGACUAUUCGCUGAGGAAUUCUAGUCUUCGGAUUAGAGCCGGGUUGGGUUAAAGGAAGCUUCUAAUCAGAAUGUCUACAUUUUAAGAUUAGAUCUCAAAUCAGGUAGGACUACCCG
rnacentral:misc_RNA from 1 species